AUUGAACGCUGGCGGCAUGCCUAACACAUGCAAGUCGAGCGGUAACAGGGAUUUGGCUCCUGACUUCUGCCGCAGACGGGAGUAAAACACCUAAGAAUCUCCCUAGUUGGGGGGUAUCGCAUCGAAAAAUGUGCGCUAAUACCAUAUACGCUCAGGGUGAGAACGGGGGGGCACUUCGGACCUCAUGCUCUCACGCGUGUCGAGGUCCGAUUAGCUAGUUGGUGGGGUAAAGGCCUACCAAGGCGACGAUCCGUAACUGGUCUGAGAGGAUGAUCAGUCACACUGGAACUGAGACACGGUCCAGACUCCUACGGGAGGCAGCAGUGGGGAAUAUUGGACAAUGGGCGAAAGCCUGAUCCAGCAAUGCCGCGUGUGUGAAGAAGGUCUUCGGAUUGUAAAGCACUUUUAGUCGGGAGGAAAAGGAGUAAGUUAAUACCUUGCUGUUUUGACGGUACCAAAAGAAUAAGCACCGGCUAACUACGUG
rnacentral:rRNA from 1 species